AGAUGGUGCCUAUGCUGUUGGUCUACAGGCUGUAUUUUAUAUAGCAGGGUUUGGUACAAUCUUUCUCAACCAGACCUGGAAGAGAAGUUGUAACAUGGCUGCUGCUCUGCAAGCUCACAUCCACUAUCCAGGCUGAAGCCAGAAGAAGUGGGAAGAGAAAAACCAAAGGACAGUGCCCUCUGUAAACCACUUUUAAAAAACGUUUCUCAGCAGCUACUCUUUAGAGGUAUGAUGGAUCUCCCCACAAAGUCUGGUUCAGGUGUCAAGACCUACACACCAAGAAACGAUGAGAAGAAUUAUCAUUCACAUGAGACUUUCUGGGGCAAGCAGAGUGGCUACCAAACAGGUCUUAAAAUGGCUUGAGAAAUCCAGGUCCCAGAUAAUAAUUAGGAAAACAAAUCAGGACCGAAACUCCAGAGAGGCACUUUUGAAGUGGCCUCCGAUGCGAAGGUGAGAUCAGAAAUACGCCUGUGGAACCCUCUACAUGCGGAUCUGGCAAGCAUUCAACACAAACGCAAUUAGAGGGCUUACCCUUGCAUGAAAUAUUUGCUUUCCUGAUAGUCACUAACUUUAAACUUUAGGAAUGCCAGGGCAUAGUGUUUCUGUAUCAGAACUAGAAUCCUCUACUUCACUUUCUUCAGCUAUUAUUUUUGAAGUUUGCAUAUCGUAUUAAAGUCCCACCAAACAAUAAAUAGGAAAGCAUGAUUUUAUUAAAAUCCUCUUGAGACAACCGCAUCUGCCCUGGCUAUUCUUUGAUCAGGGUCUGAGAGGUUGCAGCAUGCACACUCACCCAGAGGUACUUGAGAGCAUUGUUCACGUAUUCAAUGAAUAUUGAAUGCUAGAGUGAAUCUACACUGGGCUUAGAUCAGCAUAAAUCUCCACAACUCACCUUCAAUGGUGGACACAGGCAACUAACCAGG
rnacentral:lncRNA from 10 species